ACUUCCUUCGAGCGACCGCGGCGCUUAUGCGUCUCCUCUUUGUGCUUUUUAGUGACACUUUGUCACUAAAUAUAUUGUCACUUUGUGCGAGGCGUAGAUAGGAGAUCGUUGUUUCGAUGGGCUUUUGAGUCGAAGAGCACUACUCGAUGCCUUGGGAAAAUCGUUAUCGUUAAAAUAGUAUAAGCAUUAUAAAUUAGCCGGUGUGCAUUGCUCGCCUGCGUACAUACGAGUCAAAACAAAGCGUCGCGCACAGAGAUACUGGCAGGAGUGCAGAGGCGCAUAUCUUAUUGCCGUUACCUUGAAGGGCUAUCCUGUUGCCGCGCGAGAAGACCCGUUGACAUUUGACAGCCAUAGGAGUACUUGAGAUGAGUGAACUUCGUCAUCGAAGUUCAUGUGGGAAAUUGAUGACUUUAGUAAAGCGGCAACGACAAACUCGAACACUGGCACUAGCAAUUUUGCAAGGCAUCUAGUUAUGUACCCAAAAGGAUUAUCAGCAGAAUGCCAAAAUUAUUUGACGCUUUUUCUUGCAUCUACUAAUGUAGAGACUGACGUUAAUUUGAAUAAUGACGGUAAACUGAUGUAUGAUCAUAUCGCUGAUUUAUGUAUUAAAUAUACAUGUUGCACAGUACGGGGACUAACACAAAAUUCGUAUAACGAGAUUUCGUCGUGAACCCAGCUAAUGGCAUAUUAAAUGACGAUAAAUCGAUAAUUGCGUGUGAAGUAAAAUACAUCAAAUCAACGAGACGAGUAACCGAAGAUAAUUUCGUGAAUGAUGUUUUACCACAUCUCCAAGAAAAGUAUAACGAGGCUCUGUUGAACGACAGCAAAUUCAGUGACCUCUCCCACAUUUCGGAAGGUAAAACAGUGAAUGUGCACAAGUGCGUACUCGCAAAGAGCAGUUCAGUUUUUGCCGCCAUGUUUGAUGCCGAGAUGAAGGAGAAUACUGUGAAGAUUGACGAUAUAAAAUACGACGUUCUCAUGGAAACAAUUCGUUUUAUUUAUACCGGAAAGGUCAACAACAUCGGUGCACUCGAUAGCGAUCUGGCUAUUGCAGCGGACAAAUAUGAACUAAAUGAACUGAAGAAUGCGUGCGAGAAGGCGAUGAAAAGAAUUUCAACUUCGACAAUGUCAUCGGCUUUCACCAACUCGCUGAUUGUUAUCGUAUGGAUAAAUUGAAGACGAAAGCAAUCGAAUUUAUGGUUGAAAAAGCGUGUGAUGUGUGCGACAAACCGGAAUUCAAGUCGUUAUCGAAUGAUUUGAUGUGCGAAGUAUUUUGUCGCCUGUAGUGUGUUUUGCGCAGUAUUACUUGCGUCAUUUUUUUUCUUUUUUUUUCAAAUGAUUAUCGUUGUAAGCUUUACACGAGUGAAUAUAAAUACGCUCGUACAGAGUCGCUAUUUAUCAUAUUAUAAUAUUCGGUAAUGAUCGCUUUGAAACAACGUUAAAAAUCGCCUCAAUCGCGCAGUACGCGCAUCAAAGUGGAUAUGCCUAUAUACUUCAGCUCGCGCUAAUGGCAAUGAGAUGCACCGCAAAUCCUUAUAAUGCGCGCGCUUGCAAUCAAGUUUUUUGCAAGCCAUUUGUCGCUGUGUAAAAAAAAAAAAAUAAUAUAUCAUCAUCAACGCGCCGUAUAGUUCAUUGUUUCGAGAGGCGCGAAUUUAACGAAGCGACGAGCGCAACACGUGGUGCGCGUCGCUCGCUUUUACUCGUGUACUUAUAGAAGAAGCGGUGGAGACUAAGAAGAGAAGCCAAAGUCCGCGCUGCGAGGUUCCAAGGCCACCAAGGUCGUCUUGUCUCUCUCUCUCUCUCUCUCUUUCGCAGCUGUGCAGCCGUACAGUGUGCUUCUUCUUAUAGCGCAGCCAAGAGCGCGCGGCAAUUGCUCCUUUAUUGUCUCUCUUAUGCCUCUCUUUUUGCGAUUCGGCUUGAUAAUCGAACGAGAGGACGCGUGUUAUGGAUGUAUACGCAGGAAUAGAAUGUAUAAAGGUACGCAUAUAAGAAAGAGUCGAGAUUCGGUACACAUAGGUGCGAUUAACGGCGGCUGCGCGAUAUAAUUGCCCGGAGAAUUAUACGAGAGCUAUAACUUUGUAAUUAUGCGAGAGCGAGAUUGUUUUUCGAAAUUUUUUACGCAUCCGCAACUCGCUCUCUGUGUUCGCGGACUUACCUGCGGAAUUUUAUUUACGGCUCUUUGUGGAACGUUCGAGUUAAUUCUGGAUUGUAUGUACACGACGGAAAAUCAGUGAGAAAUUAAAAGAAAAAGAAAAAAGCAAAAACGUUGAUGUAAAUAAAGUAAUUUAUUUCAGUGAGACCUCGUUUAAAAGAUUACAAUAUCCAUUGAAACGAAAUGCGAUCGUCAAAAGAAAGAGUUUCAUCGUUGUUUUAAAUAAAUAAAAUUUUGCAUAACUAUGUACCGCAUAGCUAUAUCUACUGCAGGGAUGAGUUACGAAAAAUUUGUAAUCGCAUUUCCUCUUGUCUGGCCGUCACUUCUUUUACGAAAAAUACAAACGUACACAUCUUAUGAUAAUAAUUGUAAUGAAAAAAAAAAUAAUAAUAAUAAUAAUAAAAGUCGCUUCUGAAGGAACUGUAGACGAGGAAGUUAGCAGUGUACUUUCUUUGAUCGUUGUGUGGGAUUCCGUCGUUAUUUAUUCAUUUCACGAGUAUUAUGAUAAAAUGAUUGAGAAAAAAAAAUGAAGACAACUCGAGCCCUCUCCGGACUCUCGGUGUUUUGGUUUCCGAAGUACUUUUUAUUAAGAAAUACUUUGCAUUCAGUUAAAUGCCUUACGCACGUAAUUAAUUGGUAAUUAGAGUAAUUAUUGUUUAUAGCGUGGUUGUUUCUCCCUAAGUCUCUACCUAGAAGCAUGCUUCACUAAACACAUCUUAGACGAGCUUAAAAUUAAAAACGUAAUUUUACUUGUAUUCAUCUCUCCCUCCUUACUCAUACCGCUUCUCUUUUUCCGUCUCUCGGGCAAACUCUUUGCCUCUUGCUCUGUCUCGAGCUUCAUUUCUUUCUCGUCGUUAUACAGUUUUGUUUCUUUGCUACAUAACUCUCUCUCUCUCUCUCUCUUUCUCGCUCUUCUCAUUCUCUUAUUCUUCACACUCAACGCCGUCGCUUUUUAUCCUUAAAACGCACGAUUCUCUUAUGCUUCUAGUUUUUAGAACAAAAAAUACUAUUACAGAGGACCGCGAGAUUGUUCGUUCACAGAGGAAAAUUAUUCAACAUUUCUUUUUUUUCAUUUCUCUCUCGCUCUCACGUUUAAUCACCUCUCAUUUCGCUUCGAAGACAACACAGUAGGGGCUCUCCCUUUCUCUCAAUCUUUAAAAAGGUCGCGCGUAAAACAUGAUUUCUUUGCAAUUUGAUUUCACGAGUUUCACCACUACAUCAAUCUCUCUCUCUCUCUCUCUCUCUCUCUCUCUCUCUCUCUCUCUCUCUCUCUUUCAUUCUCUCUCUAUAGGGAAAAGCUUUAUUAUUUUAAUCUUUUUUUUCGCAUCGUAUAAUAUUGUUACAGCGUCGUGGAAUGAUUCACCGAUUAAGGCAACUUACAUAUCGUCUGGCUAUUGAAUCCUUUAUUUAUUUUCAUAUUAUCGUUACGUGUUUACAACGUGAAACUCUGAAUAAUUACUCGCCCUUUCUUCGUUUGCCCACAUCGCACCACCGUCUUUUUCAUUCAAUGUUUUGUUUCUCUUAUAUUUAUACACAAGUUCUGUCGUUACCUCGUGGAAGCAACAUUUUUGUUUUGUUAAAAUUCCAAGUCUCGAGGGAGAGCGCCUCCCCCGGAAAUACAGAGCGAAAAGAAGAGGCUUGCUGCCUCCUUCUCAGCCUACUUUUUUUAAAUAUUUUUCUUUUAACGUAUACACCCUCUCGGCCUAAUCACUCAUUCGUCAUUCGAUCUCACUCACUCGCACUCGCUUAUUUUCUUUUUGUUUAGGACCUGGAGAAUUAUUAUAUCGAACGCUUAAAAGUGCCGCGCGCAUAUUUUUUUUCCUUUGUUCUCGUUUAUAGUCGUCGUAUAUAAUAGUCAUCUCGCUCGGCUUUUCCUCUCUCAGCACCUCUCUCGAUUCUCGUCUCUCGCGCGAUUGAUUUUUCUUUCUUUCUUUCUUUCUCCUUUUACGAUUUCACGCGGCCUCGAUCGUAAACGACACAAAUUAUGGAAGGGUUCGGUAAGAAUUUCUUUCGGGUAGAGCAAAUUGCCAUUCCCUUGUACUCUGCAAGCGAGAAGAAACUCUCGCGAUUCUUUUUUUCUCCUUUUCCGAAUAAAAAUGAAAAGUAAAAAAUAGAUACCCAACGGGUACAAACAUGGUGAACGCGAUUUUUUUUUCGUUUCCAAUUGUACAAAGAUUUUGUUUAUUUUUGACAAUGUUUUUUUUUUGUUUUCAAUCAUUUUAUUUAUUAUUCGUAAAUAGUAUAUAUACGAAAGAACUCAGAUCAAUAUACAAACAUCCAGCCGACAAGCUGCGCUCUCUUAUAUACCGCUGACAUACAUAAUAUAUAUAUAUUUUUGUUUAUAUAUAAUAUAUGCAUAAAUUAAAUUAAACAUGUAAAAAAAAAUUCCGUGCCGGGGUCUCGCUCUCCCGACUAUACCGGAAUCCGCGUCGACGCCUCGGACUCGCGGUAACUUUUGCAUCUUAUCAUCGUCGUCAAUUUGUUUCUUGCUUUUCAUUACAGUUCUCGUCGCGAAAAGCUGCGCGUCUCGGGGACUAUAUGGCGAAAAUCGUUCACGCUCUCUUUAUACAUAGGCUCAAUACAGGGUAGAUUUCGACCGCACGAUUGCGGAGGAGCUGCUCGCUUAUUUUUUGUUCUAGCUUAUACACAACAAUGAUUUGAUUACUGUGCGAAUAUGAUUUGUUUUUCUCGUGUUAAAUGAUAAACAUACGUCGAUGAGAUCGUACGUGUACUCGAGUAUUUAUUUAUUUAUAGUUAUGUAUAUGUAUACAUGCCCUGAGAGACGAAAUGCUAUAUAGUCAGGCAUAUCACCUUAUACAGAUUUCAUAGGAAAAUAAUUGUAAGAAGCGCACGCGGUUUACAUCGUAUAAUAUAUAAAUCGUUACAGUGUGCGUCGUCGCCAGCUGCAAAAUUUGUAUAACGUAAUAUAUUCCGCUACAUUCCUUUUUACAGUUAUUACAAGUGUGUACUUUGUUCGCUCCUCCGCAUACGCAGAUCGUCGUGUCGAUCGAAAAAUGAACCAGCACCGCCGAGAAAAGCAAAAGAGACCAACGCGCGGAGGACGACUUGCAAUAAAUAACUGUCGUCGCUCGCGGCCUGUUACGUCCAUCAGAUAUUUUUUCCCUUUUCUCGGCGCGCGCGCGCGAGUGUAGUGCGUACAAAAUCGCAGUGUACAAUUUUUCUUCCCCGAGACACGCCAGCGCUCGCUCGUACAGAUAAUCGUCGUCGUCGUCGUCGUCGUCGUCGUCGUCGUUUUUCGCAUAUCAGGAGGAAAAAUACAAAGGGGCUGCGUAUAUAUAUGAGAGAGAGCUUGGGCGCGCUCGAACGCGGAUUUCGAGAAGAGAGCGCGCACCCGGCACAACAAAUUCAAUUCUAUCUACAAAUUAAUAAUACCACCGAUAAUCAAUGCUAAAGUAUAGGUAAGAUUUAAUUAUAAAAAAAAUUACGAGUUAAUAGAAAAAUAGGGGAGGAGGAGGAGGAGAUUUUGGGUGAUCAUGAUGAUAAUGGUGUUAUAAGAGAGAAGAGAAUAACGGAUUGGCUUGGUCUUGUUCGCAAUGUCGAGGAGGGAAGGGGAGUUGCGGGAGGAGGACGAAAAAGAAGAUCUGAGAGAAGUAAAAUUAAAGAUUAUCGUAAUCUGCCUCAAAGUGGCUAACCCUACAAUGAUUUACGUACCACUAAGAUCGAGUCGCUAAGGUAGAAGCUACUUAAGUAUCGUCUUGUUUUCUUUACUUCGUUCAUCUUUGAUUGUUGUUCGUAUAUUUUUUUUAAUUCCACUCUAGUCGCUCAUUUAUUUGCUUUACUUUGUAAAACCGUUCUAUUUCUUUCGAUUUUGUUUGCAUUUGUUAUUAUUCGUUUCCUUUCAUUUCUCUGCUUGUACAACAAACUUAAACGAUCUUUCAUCGCGCCUAUAAUAUGCCUGUCCGUUUGCAUUAGUUUAUUUUAUACUUUUCUAUUUUUGUCUGUAUAUUUAUUUAUAUUUAUAUAUACGCUGCGUUUUGCACCCAAGACACUUAAAAACUGCGCGUACUGUACUGUGUAUAUUUCUUUUUCCACUCGCUCGCGCUCUCUCUCUCUCUCUCUCUCGUCUUGGAUUAUAUAAUAAUAUAUAAUAUUAUAGUACAUGAGUAUGACACGGAGUUUCACUAAAAAUAUAACGUUAGAUAACACUGAGCAUUAUACUGGCUUAAGCACUCUGAGCCAAGUUCUUUUUAAACUUCAAUCGUCUUCGUCCUCCCUACAACUCUCCUUUUCUCUCUCUCUCUCUCUCUCUCUCUCGCACAUUUUUAUUUAUUUUUUUUAAAUUCAUUCUUUAAUUUAUCUUCACGUAAAACGCGCCACUGGUGCUGUUAGAAAACUAAUUACUUCUUUCUUUUUAUUCUUUCUUUAUCUCUUCUCAUUGGUUUGAAAUACUGGUUUAGAUAUAGAUUCUGUAUAAAAUCUUUUGUCAACUGGAACUCUUAAGAACAAUGAUUUAUUUACCUUAGGGCGUACGGAAAGAGUGCUAUAUACAAUGAGUAGUUCACGGAUGGGGAUUACUUGUUUUGUUCAUUUAUUUUUUGUUAUAGGCGAUGGUUACAGAUACAGUCGGACGAAAACUAAAAAAAGAAUACUUGUUCCGGAUCGCGCGCGAGGUUUCACUGUUGACACCCGGCGAUAAAGGGCUACGUAUACUAUCGGUACUAGUGCUGACGAGCAGCUGAGCGAUAAAAAAAAUACGGCGAGUCAUAAAUAUCAUUAUGCAAGUUAUGUUAUAGCGACGACGAUAUUCUAUGCGCAAUUCGUGACAAAGAUAAACUAAUAAUGAUUCAUGACGAUUGUUACUACUAAUAAUAAUAAUGAUAAUGAUAAAAGUUAUAAUAGUAAAAUAGGACAUAGUAACUAGUAAUAUAAUAGUAUAGCAAUAAUGAUUACACGCUAAAAUGAAAUGGUCCUACAUUGGCGACAAAAUAAAAAACUGUCUAUUUAUGUGAUACUCUCGUACAAGCGAAAGUUAUAAAUUUUUGUAGUUAAAAAAAUAUCUUCUACUACGAUAAGAAGGAAGUAUAAAAAAGACGAGGAUACAUUCUUAUAUACUCAGUAACUACAGUUACAGUGUAUGCUUAAUUAUGUCUUGUGUGUAUUCGGCACUCUUUCCAACAGCUACUUUUGUCAUCUUCACACGGUUUACGGCAUCAUUUUUCUCUUUAUUUAUUUUAAUCAGUGUACUCUGCUUGAUUAUUGCAUCGAUUAUGGAAAAAUAUGGCUAUGUUUUGAACGAGGCUAUUUUACGUUUAUAACAAGGGGGGAGGGUAGCAUCGUUGGCAAUGCAUCAUACCGGCAUCGUCGCGCUGCUGCUUCUGCUGCUGCUCUUGUCAUGUUUAAUAUUAUUAUUAUUAUUUUUUUUGUAUAUAUCAUGAGAAUCAUCAAAGAAAAGGCAGUGCGCCGCGAUUUUCAAACAAAACGACGAAGGCUCGGGAAGCAGAGCCGAGGAUAAUCGCCGCUGCUAACCGAGUCGUCGCCGUUCGCGCGGCAAACGUGUCUCUAAGAUCAGCUUCGUUAUACUGUGUUUUAUUUUUUGUCAAAUAACUCCCCCUUUCUCCGCUUUUUCUCUAUCUCUCCCGCAUUAUUAUUUAACUAUUUUAUUAUUAUUUUUCUUUCGUUACUUCUUUCUUUUUUAUUCUGUUUUGUACACUAAAUACGAUAAAAGCAUCGGUAAUAAUAAUUUUCUCUGCAUUUCUCGUGUAUUUUUUAUUUUCUUAAUCGCGCGCGCGCGUGAUGCUUGAUCCGAAGCUGUAUAUUAUAGGCAGACUCCGAGUUUUCUUCGCGAAUAAACGCCAAACUCUAGUUCUCGUGCUUCGCCUUUAAUUCAUUUCUUUAUUAUUUCUUUUUUAAAAACUUAUGUAUUUGUUUAGAGGAAUAACUUUUAGACCUUUGUUGUUAGACUUUUUUGCAUUCAGUGACUUUGAUUCUGUGUAAAAAUUUAACAAAGAGUUUCUUGCAAGAUUUGCUUUCGACAUUACAUUGUAUCUUUAUCUUUUUCUUUCACACACUACAAAAACGCAAAAAAUUGUUUCGCUGUAGGAUAUCUUACACGCAUAUAGUUCGCAUGCCUAACCCCUAAGCGAGCUAUCAUUUUGUUUUCUAAUCCUGUAUACAAAUCUCAAAACAGUCGCGAUGAUCAACGAAAGUAGUGUUU